rnacentral:rRNA from 1 species
UACGGGGGGGGCAAGCGUUGUUCGGAAUUACUGGGCGUAAAGGGCUCGUAGGCGGCCAACUAAGUCAGACGUGAAAUCCCUCGGCUUAACCGGGGAACUGCGUCUGAUACUGGAUGGCUUGAGUUUGGGAGAGGGAUGCGGAAUUCCAGGUGUAGCGGUGAAAUGCGUAGAUAUCUGGAGGAACACCGGUGGCGAAGGCGGGUCUCUGGGCCGAUACUGACGCUGAGGAGCGAAAGCAUGGGUAGCGAACAGG